AGUGGUUUACCAGAUGGCUUCCAUGGAGUUUCUCAACCUCCACCAAAUAGGGAAUUGCCAUUGACAGCAAGUAAACAACCUGAACACCAACUGCCGCCAACGUAAACAUCUUAAGGUAGCAUGUGUCUCUGCUACAUUCAAAACUUCGGCUGCAGUUGUCAGGCUGGGUUAAAGGUCAUGAAGCAUCCAGUGACGGGUGGAAAUGAAGACCACACAGCUUGAAGAGAUCAGGUUGAAGAGGGAGGACAUAUUUAACUUGUCUCUGGCAGGCAGCAGUGUCAAGUUGGAGGGAGGCUUGGUGGUCUGUGUGUGACAUGGAGAAGGGCCCACCGGCACCGCAGCAGCCCCGCUGAGGCCAGGUCUACAGCUGUCCCACCCUGCCAGGGCCUCUGCUUACAGUCACUGUGAGUUACGACCGUUGCUCCUUACUCACACACACACACACACUGGCAGGCGCACACACAGAGGUGAAUGCCCCCCCUACUAGCAGCCACACACACCGCAGACACACACGCUGAGGCAAGAUAUAUUCCUAGCAGGAGCUUAAGCCCUAUCUGAGAAAGCCCAUUCCCACUUGGCUUGUUAAAGACAGGCCAUGUAGAAAGAGUACAUUUAAAGCCCACACAUCAAAUACAGGGGAAAUGUGAUGUGUAGCUGAUAGCGCUCUGUGCAUUCACACCACAUCCCGUGCCAGAGGGCACAGACAAACACACACACACACUCCCCGUACCAGAGGGCGCACACACACACACACACACACACACACACACACACACACACACACAUACACCCCGUACCAGAGGGCACACACACACCCUGUACCAGAGGGCACACACACACCCCGUACCAGAGGGCACGCAAACACUCUUUAUCAGAGGGCACACACACACCUCGUACCAGAGGGCAUGCACACACACACACACCCCGUACCAGAGGGCACGCACACACACACCCCAUACCAGAGGGCACGCACGCAAACACACCCCGUACCAGAGGGCACACACACACCCUGUACCAGAGGGCACACACACACCCUGUACCAGAGGGCACAUACACCCUGUACCAGAGGGCACACACACACAAUGAAUAACCCCCACCAGACGCACACAUAGACGAAUGAUCCUUAACAGAGGACACACACAAACUCCCAAAGCCCUCAAUCACAGGCGUGUACGGGCCCAGCAUACAUG
rnacentral:lncRNA from 13 species